rnacentral:rRNA from 1 species
UACGGCGGUCCAUAGCGGCAGGGAAACGCCCGGUCCCAUCCCGAACCCGGAAGCUAAGCCUGCCAGCGCCGAUGAUACUAACCACUGGUUGGAA